rnacentral:rRNA from 1 species
UGCCUUAGUAACGGCGAGUGAAGCGGCAAUAGCUCAAAUUUGAAAGCUGGCCCCUUCGGGGUCCGCGUUGUAAUUUGUAGAGGAUGAUUCGGCGAGGGCUCCCGUCUAAGUCCCCUGGAACGGGGCGUCAUAGAGGGUGAGAAUCCCGUAUGUGAUGGGUUGCCUUAGCCAUGUGAAUCUCCUUCGACGAGUCGAGUUGUUUGGGAAUGCAGCUCUAAAUGGGAGGUAAAUUUCUUCUAAAGCUAAAUACCGGCCAGAGACCGAUAGCGCACAAGUAGAGUGAUCGAAAGAUGAAAAGCACUUUGGAAAGAGAGUUAAAAAGUACGUGAAAUUGUUGAAAGGGAAGCGCUUGCAGCCAGACUUGUCCGCAGUUGCUCAGCCGGUCUCCUGACCGGCGUACUCUUCUGCGGCCAGGCCAGCAUCAGUUCGGGCGGUCGGAUAAAGGCCCCAGGAAUGUAGCUCCUCUCGGGGAGUGUUAUAGCCUGGGGUGGAAUGCGGCCAGCCUGGACUGAGGAUCUCGCUUCGGCUAGGAUGCUGGCGUAAUGGCUGUAAGCGGCCCGUCUUGAAACACGGACC